UACGUAGGGCGCGAGCGUUGUCCGGAAUUAUUGGGCGUAAAGAGCUCGUAGGCGGCUUGUCACGUCGGGUGUGAAAGACCGGGGCUUAACUCCGGUUCUGCAUUCGAUACGGGCUAGCUAGAGUGUGGUAGGGGAGAUCGGAAUUCCUGGUGUAGCGGUGAAAUGUGCAGAUAUCAGGAGGAACACCGGUGGCGAAGGCGGAUCUCUGGGCCUUUACUGACGCUGAGGAGCGAAAGCGUGGGGAGCGAACAGG
rnacentral:rRNA from 1 species